AGUGAACGCUGGCGGUAGGCCUAACACAUGCAAGUCGAACGGCAGCACAGUAAGAGCUUGCUCUUACGGGUGGCGAGUGGCGGACGGGUGAGGAAUACAUCGGAAUCUACUUUUUCGUGGGGGAUAACGUAGGGAAACUUACGCUAAUACCGCAUACGACCUACGGGUGAAAGCAGGGGAUCUUCGGACCUUGCGCGAUUGAAUGAGCCGAUGUCGGAUUAGCUAGUUGGCGGGGUAAAGGCCCACCAAGGCGACGAUCCGUAGCUGGUCUGAGAGGAUGUUCAGCCACACUGGAACUGAGACACGGUCCAGGCUCCUACGGGAGGCAGCAGUGGCGAAUAUUGGACAAUGGGCGCAAUCCUGAUCCAGCCAUACCGCGUGGGUGAAGAAGGCCUGCGGGUUGUAAAGCCCUUUUGUUGGGAAAGAAAAGCAGCAGGUUAAUACCCCGCUGUUCUGACGGUACCCAAAGAAUAAGCACCGGCUAACUUCGUG
rnacentral:rRNA from 1 species